rnacentral:rRNA from 1 species
AAUCUUCCCCAAUGGACGAAAGUCUGACGGAGCAACGCCGCGUGUGUGAUGAAGGGUUUCGGCUCGUACAACUCUUUUGUUAAGGAAGGACACUUGAGGUAGUAACUUGCCUUGAGACGACGGUACUUAUCCAGAAAGCUACGGCUAUCUACGUGCCAGCAGCGGCGGUAAUACGUAGGUGGCAAGCGUUAUCCGGAAUCGUUGGGCGUAAAGCGCGCGUAGGCGGUAAAAUAAGUCUGAUGUGAAAGCCCCCGGCUCAACCGGGGAGGGUCAUUGGAAACUGUUUUACUUGAGUACAGAAGAGGAGAGUGGAAUUCCAUGUGUAGCGGUGAAAUGCGCAGAGAUAUGGAGGAACACCAGUGGCGAAGGCGGCUCUCUGGUCUGUUACUGACGCUGAGGUGCGAAAGCGUGGGGAUCAAA